CGAUGUGAUGACGAGAAUGUUUCCCUAUUGGUUUGACUGGCCUCCAAUUUAUAUCACCUCUAUCUGAUCAUCU